UGCACUUAUACUACUACUACUUCGAAGUUAUAUAGUAAUGAGUAUAAUUGACUGACUUUAAUUAAUGUCUAAUAAAGAAUCAGUCUGUUGUCUGUCUACUCUGUCUGUAAUAAAAUAUUACAAGUAUAUUUGACCCACUGAGGUUUCAGAUGAAGUUGAAAAUCUGCAUACAUAUGUAAGUAGGGUGACAAUGAAAUAUUAUGGUACCAUCGAGCUGAUCUGAUGCAUGAGAGAGGAGGUGGCCAUAGGAACUCUGUGUCAAAAUAUCACAACCAAAUUGCGUUUGAGGUUGUUAGAAUUGUCUCAAUGAGUAUUGUUUUCCUUUGGAAAGAAGUACAGUUAAGACCUGUUCCGUAAAGUUAAUUAACAUACAAAACUUUCCGAUGAACAAAAUUAUUUUAUCGUCAACUAUAUUAUUUAUCCCUUCAAGUGGUGGCCCACCACUCACGGGUCGAUGCGAUAGCCAGAAAGCUGUCGGCCAACAGAGGGUGGUUAGUGAGGUGUUGCCAUAUUUAGUGGCAAAAUUAAAGGCUUUGAAGUAUAUUUACGCUCUUCUAGCGCCCAAAAGUAGCUAGAAAGUUAGACAAGGAAAACAUACAUACACACGCUUGUUAACGCUUGGUUGCUAAGGACCGUUCAUCCGGGAUCGAACGCCUAGGUCGAGUUCUGUCUUGAUUUUUAAAGAGGCAAAAAUGUCAUAUAAACUUUUUUAAUUCGCCUAGUUUCAGAGUUAAUACCAAUUAAAAAAUAUAUUUUUCGUUGUGUUUUAGUGCAUAACGCCUUUUUGAUGGCUAUGUCGCCAGUCGCCACUUUGGGACCAAGUCUAGACUACCUUCUUGACAGAUAUCAAAGUCACAAGGUACCAUUUGAAUAGACUAAUUUUUACGAAAAAAAAUGUACCAAUUUAUAUUAAUCCAUAAAUUUUCCAAGAACAUGAACUAAAUAUGUUUAAAAACAUACAAAAAGUAAAAAAAAAAAACAAUUUUUUUUGCGGAAUUGACUUAAACUUGUACAUGAAAUUCUUCUUAUGAACUCAAGAAUACGUGGUUAAAAAAAUUCCGUUUCCUCACGGGCACUUUUUAUGACUUAACCUUUGAAUUUUAAGCCCUACGUAGAAAAUUAAUUAACAAUUACCUCCAAUCAUAACUUUGUUUUGUGGUGGUAGUCAUUUUUAAUAAGGAAACUGGAAAACUGUCACUGUUGCUAGGUUUGAUUAGUUAGGUGCAUGUGGCGAAAUGCAUAAACAUUACAAUAAUUUAACAACAACAAGGACAACUUCAACAGAAGGACAUGAUUUCACGAUCCUCAGCAUUGAGGGAACAAGAAGAAGAAGACAAUAAUUUAAUUGUUCUAUUCGAAUAGCGUAUUUAGUGCUUAUUCUAACGAUAUAUGCUUCAAUAUAUACUUUUAUACAUAGAUAAGCUUAAAUAGUUGAAUUUGUAAUAUUCUCUAAAUCCGCGCUGAACACCCGACGGGGCCCCGCCACGUGACUACUUUUUACGUUUUGGCUUCUGCCACUUGAAGGGAUAUACUAUAGGCCUUGACUAGUAAUUCAUUUCAAAAUAAACUAUUUUAAUAUAUACAUAUUACACAUAAGCACCCUAAUGCAAAAAUGAAGAAAAUAUAUUUUGCGAAACUUUCGAUCGAUUUUUCCACUUAUAUUUUGUAUUGGCAGGAAAAAUAGUAAAAGCAUAUCACAAAGACAUAACAAGGUCCAAGGUUUUAAAGAAGAAGGUAAAAUUGGCUGAGACCUGAAAUUGACGGCAGAGUGUCAUCGAAA